rfam:Schistosoma mansoni strain Puerto Rico chromosome 1, complete genome
AAAUAUAUGAGGAGUCCCACAAUAGGACGAAACGGCCGUCCAGUGU